GCAAGUGCAAGUUAAAGAGGUCUCUUAUGCUCACCAAGGCUGCAUUUAUUUGGUGAAAAAUGUAAAAACACAGUAAUAUGUUGAUAUUUCGUUUAGGACGUAAGAUUUUAUGUCCUAGACCCCUAAUAGAAUAUAAAUACUGUAUUGCUUUCCCAACGCCACUGAAUGGAUGCAUUAACCAACAGGUACCAAUGACAGACAGACAUUCAUUCAUAGUAACAAAAACAGAGAGGCGCAGAACAAAAGAAAACACUGAGUAGAAAUGCAGCAGACCUCUGUGACAGAAGCAGUUUUACAUGACACAAAUAUGCCUUUAUUUUAUGUAUGCACACACACUCUCCUCUGUGCUCUCUUUUAGGUGUUGUGUAUAUCACUGGCAAAGUCAUUCUUUAAAAUCAUCAGCAAGGUUUAACAGUUCGGGAGGCAUUUGAAAAACCUGUUAAAAAAAUAAUAUUAGCAAAGAAAUCACACACAAAAGUUCUGUUAAUGCCUACUGUGUAAAUAUAUUAGAUAGAUUACUGAAAAAAAUAAUAAUAAAAAUAAAUAAAAAUAAAUAAAUCAUCCUAGAGCUGUACCAAAGAUCCUUAGAUGUAACAAAAAUAAAGUUACUCUAUCCAGAGUCUCCAGCAGUGACAUUUUUGGCCUGUAGGUGGUAGUGCAGCACUGCAGUUCGGUUCUGAUGAGGCGUAGCAUUCUGAUUCUUGUAAUGUAAAGCUUUCCAUUGGUCCAAGAUUCACACAUCUUAGUUUCAGUUUCAUGUGAAAUGUGAUGUGUCUGAUGGAAUGUUACAAUGGGAUAACAUCCAAUUUUAUUUUGUUUUCAGCAGCUGAAUGAGUUGAAUCAAAAGCCAUAAUCAGGUUUGUUCAUUCAAGCAUUUCAGAGGCAUGUGAGCUGAGAUUUCCCAUAAUAAAACAAUAACCAGGAUUAGCAACAUCAGGAGCUGAGCAAUUUUUGACAUCAGAGCUGUAGAUGAAUGGGAAUGCUAACAAUUUUUUUUUUUUUUUUUAAUUUACUCACUCUUUUAGAUGGUCUUUAAUUUGUGUUCAGUGUGGUCUCUCUCUCUCUGUUUUUGCUUUCCUCCACCCCACUUCACUGAUGUGUGAAGGAUUUCAUCCACUCUGAAGAUGCAGAUCUACACCUCUAAUGAAGGACACCAGUGGUUUGUUAUCCUGCCCUCUCCUCACCAGUCUAAAGGAUGAACAUCUUUCAACUCAAUUUGAGCUGUGUGGCUCAACAGGCAGAAUGUGAGGUGAUUAUUAAACACCAGUGCAAUCUCCCCAGCCUGGAUAAAGCUGGAUAAAGGGAACAG